AAACCCCGUGAAAGGGCCCCACAAUGUCCCCCUUGCACGCGUGCUCCAUCCGACGGUCAUCAUUGCAUCCGCAAUAGACGGAAAGCAUUUCCAAGGCCCCCAAUCCGACGGCUCCCACGCUCCGUGUUUGACUCCUCUAUGUCUAAGUCCCUGCACGCAUCCCAACGAAACUCCAAAAUUAAAUACCACCACUCCCAAACACGCCCUCCCCAUCUCUGUCUCUCUCAUCUCUCUCUCUCACUAGAAGCAAGCAGUAGUGGUAGAUCUUGUUUAGCAGCGCAAAUCUAGGGAAUUUUUAUCUCAGAAAAACGUACUGAAAUACGAAAUCUGAAAUCUGAUCCUCUGUAAUCGUUAACCUGGAUUUGUUCUGCCAUCUUCUCCUUCAACCUAGUGGAAUUUUGUGACUAUUUACUAUUGACUUGGUAUUGAAGAAGUAAAAUCAAGAUGCCGUGGACGUCUUCUUUUGUGAAUUA